AGGAGAGCUUUAAUAAAGUUUUUGUAUUGAGAGUUCUUUGCUAUAACAUGAAAAAGCAACUAGGUGCUCUUUGACUUAGAAAGAUAAAAAUUACUUGCUUACUCAGGCGUUGAAGUAGAUCUCUUUUAGAUCAAACCAUGAAAAAAAAGGUUUCAAAGGCGAAACACGCGGAUAUAAACUUUCUGCCAUUGUUUCAGCUGAAAAGCAUGGUCUGGAGUUGCUAUCAAAGGAGUUUGUGAAAGAAUUUGAGAAUGAUUGGGUUGGAGCUCCUUUGAUUUAACCCUUCAAUUGCAUGAAUUUUGUUCUUGUUUAUGGAAGUGUAUUUGAAAUGUGCCUAAUUAUAUGGCUUGUAACUUUGAGUUAAAAUUCCCCACUUCUCUUACAGGUCAUAUUAUUUAUCUUAAUAUUUUAUGGGAAAGGACGAAUAUUUCUAGCAGAGCUUUAUCGCAUCGCAUCCCAAAGGCAGAAACAUACAUACACACAACAAAAGGGCAAACUAGGAAGGAAAUUAGCAAGCAUAUAUCGAUCGUGCAAGUAGAAUGAUCCCCAAAAAAAAAUGUUGACUUUGGCAUAUAAAGAAAACACAUAUCUAGGAGCUGAUUUUCCAUAUGAAAACGCGUCACUUCAAAUGAGCACAUGGCCUGGCCAUGGUUCUUAUUGGUCGGCACAUAUAGCUGUUCAAAUAAGAACGCGUGAAGGUAAUAUUUCUUUUUCACUUCAGCAAACUUUGAGUCAAUUAAGUUUUUUGUUGUAGUUUUGGCCUAGCUCUCAAUCUGAUUUCAGUUCGUAGAAGAAAUACUCUAUCGAUAGUGGUCCUCAAGGAAGCCUUCUAGAGAGAUUUGAGAACCAUAUGGCGUUGGCGGCGGCUUCUUCUGGAAAUUUUUCGAAGAAAUAUGACGUAUUUCUCAGCUUUAGAGGUGAAGAUACCCGUACCAAAUUCACAAGCCAUCUUUAUACUGCUUUAGAACGAAAGAAAAUCAAGACUUACAUCGAUGAGAAAAGUCUUCAGAGAGGGCACGAAAUAUCACCUGCACUUCUUGAUGCAAUCGAAAACUCUAAGAUUUCAUUAAUCGUUUUCUCCGAAAACUAUGCUUCUUCAUCAUGGUGCUUGAGUGAACUUGUCCAUAUUCUAAAAUGUUGCAGCGAUAUCAAUCAGAUUGUUGUGCCUAUUUUUUACGAUGUAGAUCCAUUACAUAUUCAAAAUCAGGAAGGAAGCUAUAGUGGUGCAUUUAAGAACCAUGAACAACGAUUCGACGACAAAAUGGAUAUGGUGGCAAAAUGGAGACAUGCUUUGACAACAGCAGCUAAACUGCAAGGCUGGAAUUCCCAAAACAUCAGCCCUGAGCCAAAAUUGAUAGAUGAAAUUGUUAAAGAUGUCUUAAAAAAACUGGGACGUGUAUCCUCAAGCAACACUUUCAAGAGGUUAGUUGGAAUUGAAAAGCACAUUGAAGAAAUCAAGUUGUUGUUGAGCCAUAAUUGCUCAUCAAAUAUCGGUGUAGUUGGCAUUUGGGGAAUCGGUGGUAUAGGUAAAACAACUCUUGCAGAUGCAUUGUUCAGUCUUUUCUUCCACCAAUUCGAAAGUUGUUACUUUCUCAAAAAUGUUAGGGAAGCAUCCGAAAAGUACGGAUUAGAGAAAUUAAGAGAAGAGCUUAUUACAAAACUGCUAAAAGAAGAAGAAAGCCUAGAUUUGGGAGCACCAUCCAUACCAGACUGCAUUAGAGACAGACUUCGUUCGACAAAGGUACUCAUUGUUCUUGAUGAUGUAAGUAACUCAAAGCAGUUCGAGUACUUAAUUGGUGAUCGUUUUAGUGAGGAUGACCUAUUUGACAAUGGGAGUCGAAUCAUAGUAACAACUAGAGAUGAAAAUGUGCUUAGAACUAUUGAAUCUGAUGUAACAUAUGAAGUAAAGCAGCUAAAUGAGGAUGAAGCCCUUAGGCUUUUUAAUUUGAUAGCCUUCAAAGGGAAUUCUCCAAGGGAUGGUGAUUAUGUAGAGCUGUCGAAAAAGGCUGUGAAAUAUGCUGGACACAUUCCGUUGAUUAUCAAAGUUUUGGGUUCUCACCUUCGUUAUCUUCGGUCUCCGACCAAAGAAAACUGGGAAAUGGCAUUGGAUAAGUUUCAACAAGUGCCUCUUGAGGAUAUUCAAGAGGUCUUAAGAACAAAUUAUGAUGGGUUGGAUAGGAAAGAGCAAGAUAUCUUUCUUGAUUUCGCAGGCUAUUUCAAUGCCAAGUAAAGAGAUUUUGUACAACAUCCUUCUACCAGUAAAAAAUCCUCCUCUACCAGCUCCAGAGCAAAUUUAGGAGCAUCCUCAUCAACAGAUCGAGAAACAUAAGAGUAGAUAUAUCAGCAAUAAAAUCAGAAAAAAUAGAAAUUUGAUGGAGACUACGGUGGACAGCUGAAGAUACAGUCAUAGCAUCUGUUUCCACUGGAGACCGAAGAACAGUGCUUUCGCUUCCAUAUCCUUGACUGUGUAGUUACCAUGAAAAAGGCUUAGACAUAGCAAGAAUUACUUGGCCGUUGCAGUUUCGGAUUAUUACGCCAGCUCCCAUCGCACCAUCAACAUUUAACUUGCAUUUUCCUUGUGGGGAUGGGAACCAUUGAGGUUACAGUGAGGGAAGGGAAGGACAAUUUAUUAAGGGCGUUUUUAGGUGGAUCGACUAUCCAAUUACCCAAGCUCAACUCUUAUACACUAUAUUUCUUGGAUUCCAUGGCAUGGACGAAAGUACCAAACAUUAGAGAUCCACAACAAUCGAUUCAACGACGGUUGAUUAUUCAC